UCUCAAGCAAUCUGCGUCAGCCUCCUGAGCAGCUGAGACUACAGGUGCAUGCUACCAGGCUCCACUCUAAAGUCUUGUUGAAUAACUGAGCCUCACCCUCAUUGAAUGAGGUGUGAAGUUCAAGUGAAUUACCCAUUUCACAGGGCUCAGUAUGGCAGAACAUGCUAGGUGUUUUCCUGCACAUUCUUUCAUUCUCACUAGCACCUCAAGUAGGCAGUAGGGGAGGCAGGGUGGACAUUGCAUAUCUGAAAGUAAUGAGUUCACCACUGUGGCUAAAACAAAGGUAGGAAAAUAAUUGUUUAAAUAGAGUGCUUUGGAGAAGAUUAAAAAUGAUGCUAGAUUAAGAAUUUGUGCUUUUCUGAAUGAGAAGCCUUUGAAAAAUUUUAGGAUGUGAACUGGAGUGAAGAAAAGAGAAGUAUCUGACUUUGGCAUAUAAAGUGAUGUAGAAUGGGGAGGAGGUUGAGGUUAGGAAGACUAGCUAUGAAACAGUGUUGAUAAUCUAGCCAUGUGCGCUGACAGUGUCUCUUUGGGUAGAAAAGAAAAUAAAGGGACAUGGCAUACUGAAUGAGCAGGGGUGGGGCUUUCCUGGGUUCUUUUGUUUAGGUGAGAGACAGCAGACUCUGACCGAUGAGGCCAGCUUCCUCCCUCUAUAGAAGAACCUAAAACAAAGACCAUGGACUUCAUAUUCACCUGAGGAAGGCAGACAGCUGGCCAAGAUAAGCGCCUCUCCUUCAAAACAGGGUAGAAUUUCAUAUCAUGAUUACUAGACACAACCCUGAAGAGGCCAAUGGUUCUGCUAACACUGGCUACCCUCAAGGUAACAAACACUGCCAGCCAGGACUACCUCAUCCUAAUGGAUGAUUCCUGGAGAAGACAAUGAAAAAUCUCCUAUUCUCCAUAGUACCAUAACUCCUACCCCUAGAAAUGUCUAGUUUCCCAACAUGCUACCUCCUUUGCUUCCAGACUUCUGGAGAGAAACUUCUUUCCAUUUUACCACUUGCAGAAACCCCAGUCUCAGAGAGACAACAAGAGCUGGACUGUCACCAGGGCUCAGAUAAGUCACAGCACUGACAACAGGCAAAUGAGUUAAUAAUCAUGUUAGGUUUCUAUGAUUAGUGACAGUGUAUAAAGAUCUUUUAAUGUCAAAGUAGUUUGUGGAACAGAGCAAAUUUUCAAAUAAACAUUUGUUUUUUUUCGUAUAACUUUCUCACAUUUAAAAGUCAAGUAUGCCCUUGUAGUGAAAACAUCCAUUAAUGAAACAAAAGCAGUCAUGAGAAGAAAAACAAAGUGCUUAGUAUAAUUCCUGCUUCAUGGUAGAAGAAAUGGUACCCAUUGUUUUCAUGACUUAGGGUGAUUUAAUGCAAUUCAAGAGCAAAGGUCCAAUUUCUUUUAGACAAUAGGACUAGAGCUUGUGAGAGAAUUUGGGGUUGAAAUGAUGAUUUGAAAGUCACUUGCAUAGGACGGUUAGUAGAAAUUAUCAGUGAAGGUUUCCAUACUUGUGUGGAAUUUGUAUAUUUGCUAAGAAAGCAGAGGACUCAAUCCCACCUUUUUUAGGAUAUGAAGGACGUGGAGGAAGUGGAUACAGGCCAGGAGCUGUAGGGAGAAAAUAAAGACAAAGGCCUCGAUGAUUGGGAAAGAGAGUCUUGAGAGGCCACAGAGGAGAGCAGUUCUAAGAGGACUCUACCUACCAUUAAUCAUGUCUUUUAAUGGCGGACACUGGGAGCUAUGGCCUGGCAUGUGCAGUUAAUGAAUCCAGAGCUUCCAGCCCACAAGAUUUCUGCCAUUGCUUAAUCUUGUGUUUCCCGGGCCCUAGAUCUGAAACCAUAAAAUGUGCAGUAUUUAUUUAGCAUUAGACCAGGUUCUGAGGAUGCUUUUUCUGGAACUGUUUUGUGACCACAGAAUUAAAAAGGGUUUUGAGAUGAAAUGCUAGCCCUGUACCCAGGUUGGCCUGUCAUUCUUUCCAUUGAAAGCCACUGGUAAUAUGGCUGCAAGAUGUAUUUUGCCCAUUUUUUAAAAGCCAUUUUCUACUUUCUACUUUCCAACCACCAAAGUAUUUGGGAGUGUCAUAAUUGUUUUUCUCUUUGGAACUUUAGAAAAGAUUGUUUUUUAUGAUAGAAAUAGCAUUUCUUUAAUUUUUUUUUCUUUUUUUAAUCGCCAGUGACUGCCAUACCAAACCACAGUCUUGGCUCUUUAUAUUUCCAAUUCUAGCUUGUGCUUUCUGGCAAAUGAGUGUCACAGGACUGGCCAAAAUAUUUCUGAGGAGUUUUAUCUCAGAGGAUAGUCAGAUGAAAGACUAAGAAAAUGAAAAUGGACUUAAAUGCAUUGAUUCAAGUAAAGCAUUUAGAAUAGGCUGUGGCACAUAGCAAGCAUAUAUGAGUACUCGUUAUUAUCACUGUGGCAUUCUAAGAUAAUGUAGCAUAAGAGACUGGAAUAGAACAAGACCAUUGUCCUUAUGAGAGAAUAAGUGUUCCAUAAGAAUUCAAAACAAAUGAUGAUCAGAAUUUAGAAGACUUCCAUGAAGCUCUUAAAAGGUGACCAUGGGUGAUAGGCUAAGCAUGUAAAGAGAUUGACCAGUUGGCAGUUGGGUAAGCUUACCUACAAAAUGUAUCAUGGAAUGGGACGUGGAGGAGUUUAAAGUUAUUAAAACCCAGCUGUAGAAUCCACAUACUUUGGACAUGGUUUAACAGUAACUGAAAUAUAGAGGUGACUGGAAAGAUUAUGAGGAGUGUCGUCAGGUGCUGGGAGGCAAGAAGAGAUCGGAAACUUAGACGCAGGAACAUUUCAAAUGGGCUUAAAACAUUGUUUUGGAGGUGUGACUAAUGAAGCCAAGGAUAUUAGCAAACAUCAUGAGAGCAGGAAGCUCGUAUCUGUUAGACCUUGGAGAGGAGAUCUAAGAUCUACACCUUGAUAUUAAUGGCAUUAGCUAACACAUACUUGGAGACAUUCACAGAAGAUACAUGUACAAGUCUAUAUUACUUUGGGUAAAUACCCUUCUAGAACAAUUUUGUUUAUCUCUGUUUUCUGAUUCAUAAUAAUGGCUUGAUGUAAAUCUAUGGGUGUCAGGACUGCUUUCUCUAGUUUUUGGGCUCCAGCCUGUAUUGCAUCUCUACCAAGACACUCCAAAGAAUCUACUGUGUUACUCUCUAGGGGUGGAAAACAAAGAAACAAAAAUAAAGCAUUACUUUACAUCCAGGUGAA